rnacentral:lncRNA from 13 species
AUGUUUUUAAUUAUCCCUUUCACUCUUUACCAUUUGAUUUCUUUUCAAGCCGAUGGCUGGGGAAUACACAGCUGGGGAGAUAAUAAAGCCUUCCUGUGGCAAUUAUCGGUGCUCAGGCCACCGUAUCUCGUUAUUUUGAUAGACAGUGAACUUGGCGCGGUUGCCGGCCGGGUUCACGCAGAUGUCACGGUCCGUGCUGUAGGUCACAAGCAGGUCAGCGCCCGGCAAGAGGAGAGCGCCGGGUCAGGGCGCGGCCGCCGCUCCCGGCCAGCACCGGCCGGGCCCGCCGCGAACCCCGAGGGGCUACCGCCUCCGGGGCCUGGGGAGUACCCUCCGGGGGGGGGUUCACUCCUGGGCAAGGGGCUGCGGAGGCGGGCAGCCCCGCUUCGGCAAGGCAUCGUAAGAGGAGGGCGGGUCUCGUGUGAUGCGUUGAUUGUUAGAAAAAUAAUAAUUAAAAGUGACAUCUCUCUCCCCUACACAGACACGCACACACAAAACUUCCAGCGUUUAUUGAGCUUGUCUGGGAACAAGAAAGCAAAAGUAACAGGGAGGGAAGAGAUAAAAACCGUAAAGAAAAAAAAGUGUAUUGGCAGCAGCUGUGGCUGGCGGAGAGCUCCACGGCCCCGCAGCCGCCGUCCGCGCCGGGCGCCCCUUCCCCAGCGGCCGGCGGCUCCUCCGCCGGUACCCAGCAGCAGCCCCGCUCCCACCGCGCUCCUCCUGCCCGGAGCCGCCGCUGACGCCCGGAGCGCAGCGCCGGUGCCCGCCCGCCGGUGCCAGCACGGAGCCCCUCUGCGCCGCGGCUGCAGGCGAGGUGCCCCGCCGUGCCAAGCGCCUCUUCCCGACCGCGGCAGCCCCGACGGGAUGCCGAAGAGCCUCAGGAGAGGGCGGGCAGUGGAUCCCGGGGAGAGAAGCUGGGCACGGCGGGUCUGGUGUUUCCUUUCCGCGCUCACCUCCUUUUCCCUCGGUGACCUGCGCUUGAACCUGCAUCGGGAGGCUAAGACGGACUGCUGCCGGGGGCUCAUUCCUCCGUGCCCGGCAGAAAUACAAGCCGUGCCUUCCGAGGUGAACCAGGGGACAGCGGAGGCUCCUCCGCCAACACGCCAGCACAGCUGCAGCUCUGCUCAGGGGGUCUCCGGGCAGCCCCAGCACGGGGGACCGUCCGCUCUGGCCGCCUCACUGUUCCGGCCCGGCGUCUCCCGGGUCCGGCCGCUACCUCGCCGUUCCCAGCCGACGACGGCGGCGGGCGGGCGAAGGAACUCCGCAGAGCGCAUCGGCGCCGGACGGUAG